rnacentral:rRNA from 1 species
CGGGUGGCUGCACCAGUGAGGAAUAUUGCACAAUGGGGGGAACCCUGAUGCAGCAACGCCGCGUGGAGGAUGACGCAUUUCGGUGUGUAAACUCCUUUUAUAUGUCAAGAAAAUGACGGUAGCAUAUGAAUAAGCACCGGCUAACUCCGUGCCAGCAGCCGCGGUAAUACGGAGGGUGCAAGCGUUACUCGGAAUCACUGGGCGUAAAGGACGCGUAGGCGGGUUGGAAAGUCAGGUGUGAAAUCCUACAGCUUAACUGUAGAACUGCACUUGAAACUUCUAAUCUAGAGUAUGGGGGGGGAGAUGGAAUUAGUGGUGUAGGGGUAAAAUCCAUAGAUAUCACUAGGAAUACCUAAAGCGAAGGCGAUCUCCUGGAACAUUACUGACGCUAAGGCGUGAAAGCGUGGGGAGCAAACAGGAUUAGAUACCCCGGUAGUC